UGUUGUCAUCAGUUGUUGAAAAUAUGAAAUAUUCAUGUUGGUUUUACUAGUUCUACGAUGUGUGUGCCAUUCCACAUUUGAGCACUGUAAGGUCUGGCAGCAAAAUAAAGAUAUAUUCAAAUGGAUCUUGUGCUGUGUCUCACAUCUGACAUCAUACUAGAAAAGGGUCAUGUAAACGUAACAAAAAGUCAUGCGAAUGGACAUCAAAAUGUUGACACAGAUCGGUAUUUGAGACUUAAAUCUUCAGGAUAUAACUUCAUAAAACUGGCGGAUAAAUCAAACUGCGAAGUUCUUUCGAAUGGCGAGUAGAACAGCUGUGUCUCUUCGUAGGAACGAUGAUACAAUAUUUACGUAUGCAUUCAAAUGAUGCUGUUCAAGGUAACAAGAAGAAGUUUACAUUUGGCAGUGUGAGAAAGGAAAGGAAAUUCACUUCUGCAUGACGGGAAAAUGAUGUUUGCAAGAAUAUUUUAUCGGAGGCAGCUGCAGAACCACCAACAAGAAACUCUUUUUGAUAUUAUGUUGUAGACUUUGACGGUUUUCGGCCCGCUUUGGCGAGACGGUAUUACGAUAGUUUUAUACGAAAAUCUGCGAUAAAGCCCGGAAAUCUCGCUUGUGGAGAGAAGAAAUUCAAUUAUGAUGUUCCCGCUAAGGAAAAAAAUCUUGAGUCGAACCAGAAGCUGUGUGAAUACAUCCCCAAGAAGAAAGUCACUGCGUCGGGCCAGCUGCAGUUUUUACCAUCAUCUGAAGAUAGUAUCUUUCAGGAAUAAAGUCUUUUCGCUGGACCAGCUACUCUGCCUAACUGUGACCUCUUUUUCUCUGUCUCUCCUUCCGGUGGUGCUCAAACUCCGGAGCUCUCGAUCCAUAGGCAGACG
rnacentral:lncRNA from 1 species